CAAGUUAGAGCUUGAAUAAGUGUUUUAUUUACAUUAAAAUGAUAGUUUUAUAUAAACUUAACUUGA
rnacentral:tRNA from 1 species